rnacentral:rRNA from 1 species
CACAAUGGGCGCAAGCCUGAUGGAGCAACACCGCGUGAGUGAAGAAGGGUUUCGGCUCGUAAAGCUCUGUUGUUAAAGAAGAACACGUAUGAGAGUAACUGUUCAUACGUUGACGGUAUUUAACCAGAAAGUCACGGCUAACUACGUGCCAGCAGCCGCGGUAAUACGUAGGUGGCAAGCGUUAUCCGGAUUUAUUGGGCGUAAAGAGAGUGCAGGCGGUUUUCUAAGUCUGAUGUGAAAGCCUUCGGCUUAACCGGAGAAGUGCAUCGGAAACUGGA